UACGGAAAAUCACGCGAGAUAACUGGCUUGCACCUUGUUGGGUUUUUUCAAGGGCAGAGGGGAGAUUCCUGGCGUGCAUCUACUUAAUUUGAAGAAGAACAUCACCUGAUCACCUGUCUGUAAUCCACCUGCGAAGACACUGCUGAGGUCAGACGAGAGUGCAUCCUCAAAGGUCUGUGUGUACCUAAAUGAAGAUCCAGAGAAGCUGGUGAGGGAGUACAUGGACGUUGAUGAAUGAAAUGGCCAGAACAUCACCUGAUCACCUGUCUGUAAUCCACCUGCGUAAGUACGU